rnacentral:rRNA from 1 species
UCUGGAAAGGCGCGCGAUACAGGGUGACAGCCCCGUACACAAAAAUGCACAUGCUGUGAGCUCGAUGAGUAGGGCGGGACACGUGGUAUCCUGUCUGAAUAUGGGGGGACCAUCCUCCAAGGCUAAAUACUCCUGACUGACCGAUAGUGAACCAGUACCGUGAGGGAAAGGCGAAAAGAACCCCGGCGAGGGGAGUGAAAAAGAACCUGAAACCGUGUACGUACAAGCAGUGGGAGCACGCUUAGGCGUGUGACUGCGUACCUUUUGUAUAAUGGGUCAGCGACUUAUAUUCUGUAGCAAGGUUAACCGAAUAGGGGAGCCGAAGGGAAACCGAGUCUUAACUGGGCGUUAAGUUGCAGGGUAUAGACCCGAAACCCGGUGAUCUAGCCAUGGGCAGGUUGAAGGUUGGGUAACACUAACUGGAGGACCGAACCGACUAAUGUUGAAAAAUUAGCGGAUGACUUGUGGCUGGGGGUGAAAGGCCAAUCAAACCGGGAGAUAGCUGGUUCUCCCCGAAAGCUAUUUAGGUAGCGCCUCGUGAAUUCAUCUCCGGGGGUAGAGCACUGUUUCGGCAAGGGGGUCAUCCCGACUUACCAACCCGAUGCAAACUGCGAAUACCGGAGAAUGUUAUCACGGGAGACACACGGCGGGUGCUAACGUCCGUCGUGAAGAGGGAAACAACCCAGACCGCCAGCUAAGGUCCCAAAGUCAUGGUUAAGUGGGAAACGAUGUGGGAAGGCCCAGACAGCCAGGAUGUUGGCUUAGAAGCAGCCAUCAUUUAAAGAAAGCGUAAUAGCUCACUGGUCGAGUCGGCCUGCGCGGAAGAUGUAACGGGGCUAAACCAUGCACCGAAGCUGCGGCAGCGACGCUGAUGCGUUGUUGGGUAGGGGAGCGUUCUGUAAGCCUGUGAAGGUGUGCUGUGAGGCAUGCUGGAGGUAUCAGAAGUGCGAAUGCUGACAUAAGUAACGAUAAAGCGGGUGAAAAGCCCGCUCGCCGGAAGACCAAGGGUUCCUGUCCAACGUUAAUCGGGGCAGGGUGAGUCGACCCCUAAGGCGAGGCCGAAAGGCGUAGUCGAUGGGAAACAGGUUAAUAUUCCUGUACUUGGUGUUACUGCGAAGGGGGGACGGAGAAGGCUAUGUUGGCCGGGCGACGGUUGUCCCGGUUUAAGCGUGUAGGCUGGUUUUCCAGGCAAAUCCGGAAAAUCAAGGCUGAGGCGUGAUGACGAGGCACUACGGUGCUGAAGCAACAAAUGCCCUGCUUCCAGGAAAAGCCUCUAAGCAUCAGGUAACAUCAAAUCGUACCCCAAACCGACACAGGUGGUCAGGUAGAGAAUACCAAGGCGCUUGAGAGAACUCGGGUGAAGGAACUAGGCAAAAUGGUGCCGUAACUUCGGGAGAAGGCACGCUGAUAUGUAGGUGAAGUCCCUCGCGGAUGGAGCUGAAAUCAGUCGAAGAUACCAGCUGGCUGCAACUGUUUAUUAAAAACACAGCACUGUGCAAACACGAAAGUGGACGUAUACGGUGUGACGCCUGCCCGGUGCCGGAAGGUUAAUUGAUGGGGUCAGCGCAAGCGAAGCUCUUGAUCGAAGCCCCGGUAAACGGCGGCCGUAACUAUAACGGUCCUAAGGUAGCGAAAUUCCUUGUCGGGUAAGUUCCGACCUGCACGAAUGGCGUAAUGAUGGCCAGGCUGUCUCCACCCGAGACUCAGUGAAAUUGAACUCGCUGUGAAGAUGCAGUGUACCCGCGGCAAGACGGAAAGACCCCGUGAACCUUUACUAUAGCUUGACACUGAACAUUGAGCCUUGAUGUGUAGGAUAGGUGGGAGGCUUUGAAGUGUGGACGCCAGUCUGCAUGGAGCCGGCCUUGAAAUACCACCCUUUAAUGUUUGAUGUUCUAACGUUGACCCGUGAUCCGGGUUGCGGACAGUGUCUGGUGGGUAGUUUGACUGGGGCGGUCUCCUCCUAAAGAGUAACGGAGGAGCACGAAGGUUGGCUAAUCCUGGUCGGACAUCAGGAGGUUAGUGCAAUGGCAUAAGCCAGCUUGACUGCGAGCGUGACGGCGCGAGCAGGUGCGAAAGCAGGUCAUAGUGAUCCGGUGGUUCUGAAUGGAAGGGCCAUCGCUCAACGGAUAAAAGGUACUCCGGGGAUAACAGGCUGAUACCGCCCAAGAGUUCAUAUCGACGGCGGUGUUUGGCACCUCGAUGUCGGCUCAUCACAUCCUGGGGCUGAAGUAGGUCCCAAGGGUAUGGCUGUUCGCCAUUUAAAGUGGUACGCGAGCUGGGUUUAGAACGUCGUGAGACAGUUCGGUCCCUAUCUGC